rnacentral:rRNA from 1 species
CGGGACGGGUGAGUAAUGUCUGGGAAACUGCCUGAUGGAGGGGGGUAACUACUGGAAACGGUAGCUAAUACCGCAUAACGUCGCAAGACCAAAGAGGGGGACCUUCGGGCCUCUUGCCAUCGGAUGUGCCCAGAUGGGAUUAGCUAGUAGGUAGGGUAACGGCUCACCUAGGCGACGAUCCCUAGCUGGUCUGAGAGGAUGACCAGCCACACUGGAACUGAGACACGGUCCAG